rnacentral:other from 1 species
GCCGCUGCAAAGCCAACUUUGGAAAAAGUUUUUUGGGGGAGACUUUGGCCCUGAGGUGCCCAGCUCUGCACUUUCCGACUUCGGGGGCCUUUCCAGAAAAUGUUGCAAAAAAUCUAACCCUGCGGGCAGAGGAAAACGCCUAUAGUCAGCGAGUGAAGACGAGCCAUCGACCGCCGUGUUCUUUUUCCUCUUGGAGGUUGGAGUCCCCUGGGCGCCCCCACACGGCUAGACGCCUCGGCUGGUUCGCGACGCAGACCCCUGGCCGUGGAUGCUCACUCGGGCUCGGGAUCCGCCCAGGUAGCGGCCUCGGACCCUGGUCCCGCGCUCGGUCCACGCGUCCGGGGCCUCGCGGGGCCGGGCC